GAAAAUUAAAGAUCCUAACCUAACGUUCCUUUAAUUCUUCUUUCUUUUUGUGUUGUAUCUUUAUCAUCUACAAAGCCUUCCAGCAAAGCUUGGCCACAGAUUCUUCAAGUUUAUAUUAUUCUCUAUAUAUAUCUCUCUAGUAUUCUCUCAUCUCAUGCAUAUCCCUUCCUUGCAUAGUAAAAUUUAAGUUCUUGAUAGAUUUUGCCUAUACUAUCCUUGCUUCCUUAAAGAAUUUGCUUACCACCCUCAUGAGAAUUCCUUUAAUUUAUAUGGAGAUAUAGAUAUUUGAGUCUUUUCAGAAACACAUAUUGGCAUUUUCCCCCACCAAAAUCGUAUUCUCUUGUCAAUUCCAAGUCUCUCUCUUUCUUUUCCAAUUAACUUUUUGUUUUCUUGGUUUUUUUCUUGGUUUUCUUUUGGGUUUCUGUUUCACUUCCUAAUGGUUUCCAAGAACUACAACUUCCCACGUGCGGUUGUGGAAAUGGCAUGGAUCAUGCUCAGGAUUGACUACUCAAGACUCGUUUGGCUCCUCUUUGGUGUCUUCUUUUAUGAAAAUCAUGAGGGAACGCCUCGGAUUUAGAGCUCUCCGUCUCUUUUUAACUCGUAUAUAUAUCAUAUGCAUAAGUACUCUCUCUCUCUCUCUCUCUCU
rnacentral:misc_RNA from 1 species